rnacentral:rRNA from 1 species
UGCAAGUCGAGCGAAUCAGAUGGGAGCUUGCUCCCUGAGAUUAGCGGCGGACGGGUGAGUAACACGUGGGCAACCUGCCUAUAAGACUGGGAUAACUUCGGGAAACCGGAGCUAAUACCGGAUACGUUCUUUUCUCGCAUGAGAGAAGAUGGAAAGACGGUUUACGCUGUCACUUAUAGAUGGGCCCGCGGCGCAUUAGCUAGUUGGUGAGGUAAUGGCUCACCAAGGCGACGAUGCGUAGCCGACCUGAGAGGGUGAUCGGCCACACUGGGACUGAGACACGGCCCAGACUCCUACGGGAGGCAGCAGUAGGGAAUCUUCCGCAAUGGACGAAAGUCUGACGGAGCAACGCCGCGUGAACGAAGAAGGCCUUCGGGUCGUAAAGUUCUGUUGUUAGGGAAGAACAAGUACCAGAGUAACUGCUGGUACCUUGACGGUACCUAACCAGAAAGCCACGGCUAACUACGUGCCAGCAGCCGCGGUAAUACGUAGGUGGCAAGCGUUGUCCGGAAUUAUUGGGCGUAAAGCGCGCGCAGGUGGUUCUUUAAGUCUGAUGUGAAAGCCCACGGCUCAACCGUGGAGGGUCAUUGGAAACUGGGGAACUUG